UCGCUCCAGCCCCCUCUCAGUUGUCUCGUACUAACCUUUCGCCUUUUACUAAAGGUUACCGUGGGGAGGGGCUCUAAUGAGCCUUCAGGCCAAUUUUUGGAAGGCCUUGCCCGUUUGGGUGAGG